ACCUCACCAACUCACCCACCCUUCUCUCUCUCUCUCUCUCUCUCUCUCACAAACACACACUAUUUCCUCAUAAUUUCCAUUGAUGAAUCAUGAUCAUGCAUGAAGGUUAAUAGUGUUCAUGCACAAAAUUGUUGCUAUAUUUAUGAUGCAGAUAUGGGUUUGUAUGGGUCUGGUGUUGCCUUGGACUAGCUGAUCUUCCACUUUUUGUUUCACAGGAGCUAAAUCUGUCUCUUCGGAACCAACUGCGCUCUGCUAAAUAUUCCAACGAAAACAUGAGGCAAGGGUUGCGGGCGAUGUUCCGGAAACGAUGGCGGCCGCCGAAGGUGAAGCAAAUGGGUGAUGUUUUCAACUGCAUUUCUUCCAAAGUGUCUUAUUUUUCCUUCCUUGUCAAUCUUCUCUUACAUUAGCUUCUCAUCCCUGUGAUAUUGGCGGCACGGCUCAAUCUAUUCCUUUUUUUUUUUUUUUUUU